GUGUUCUUACUUUGACAACACAUAUACUAAAAAUAAAAUAAUACAGAGAAAAUUGGCAUGACUCCUACAAAUAGAUGACAUACAAAUUCGUGAAGCAUUCCAUAUGUCU
ensembl:snRNA U6 U6 spliceosomal RNA